rnacentral:rRNA from 1 species
UACGUAGGGAGCAAGCGUUGUCCGGAAUCAUUGGGCGUAAAGCGCGCGUAGGUGGCUUCGUAAGUCCGUUGUGAAAGUCAAAGGCUCAACCUUUGAAAGCCGAUGGAUACUGUCGGGCUUGAGUACGGAAGAGGCGAGUGGAAUUCCUGGUGUAGCGGUGAAAUGCGCAGAUAUCAGGAGGAACACCGAUUGCGAAGGCAGCUUACUAUGGUAUUAUUGACGCUGAGGCACGAAAGCGUGGGGAUCAAACAGG